rnacentral:rRNA from 1 species
UUAAGCGACCAAGCGUACACGGUGGAUGCCCUGGCAGUCAGAGGCGAUGAAGGACGUGCUAAUCUGCGAAAAGCGCCGGCGAGGUGAUAUGAACCCUUGACCCGGCGAUGUCCGAAUGGGGAAACCCAGUGUGACUCGUCACACUAUCAUUAACUGAAUCCAUAGGUUAAUGAGGCGAACCGGGGGAACUGAAACAUCUAAGUACCCCGAGGAAAAGAAAUCAACCGAGAUUCCCCCAGUAGCGGCGAGCGAACGGGGAGGAGCCCAGAGCCUGAAUCAGCAGGUGUGUUAGUGGAAGCGUCUGGAAAGGCACGCGAUACAGGGUGAGAGCCCCGUACACGAAAAUGCACCUGCUGUGAGCUCGAUGAGUAGGGCGGGACACGUGGUAUCCUGUCUGAAUAUGGGGGGGACCAUCCUCCAAGGCUAAAUACUCCUGACUGACCGAUAGUGAACCAGUACCGUGAGGGAAAGGCGAAAAGAACCCCGGCGAGGGGAGUGAAAAAGAACCUGAAACCGUGUACGUACAAGCAGUGGGAGCACAGGUUUACCUGUGUGACUGCGUACCUUUUGUAUAAUGGGUCAGCGACUUAUAUUCUGUAGCAAGGUUAACCGAAUAGGGGAGCCGGAGGGAAACCGAGUCUUAACCGGGCGUUAAGUUGCAGGGUAUAGACCCGAAACCCGGUGAUCUAGCCAUGGGCAGGUUGAAGGUUGGGUAACACUAACUGGAGGACCGAACCGACUAAUGUUGAAAAAUUAGCGGAUGACCUGUGGCUGGGGGUGAAAGGCCAAUCAAACCGGGAGAUAGCUGGUUCUCCCCGAAAGCUAUUUAGGUAGCGCCUCGUGAACUCAUCUCCGGGGGUAGAGCACUGUUUCGGCUAGGGGGCCAUCCCGGCUUACCAACCCGAUGCAAACUGCGAAUACCGGAGAAUGUUAUCACGGGAGACACACGGCGGGUGCUAACGUCCGUCGUGAAGAGGGAAACAACCCAGACCGCCAGCUAAGGUCCCAAAGUCAUGGUUAAGUGGGAAACGAUGUGGGAAGGCCCAGACAGCCAGGAUGUUGGCUUAGAAGCAGCCAUCAUUUAAAGAAAGCGUAAUAGCUCACUGGUCGAGUCGGCCUGCGCGGAAGAUGUAACGGGGCUAAACCAUGCACCGAAGCUGCGGCAGCGGCACGCAAGUGUUGUUGGGUAGGGGAGCGUUCUGUAAGCCGUUGAAGGUGUGCUGUGAGGCAUGCUGGAGGUAUCAGAAGUGCGAAUGCUGACAUAAGUAACGAUAAAGCGGGUGAAAAGCCCGCUCGCCGGAAGACCAAGGGUUCCUGUCCAACGUUAAUCGGGGCAGGGUGAGUCGACCCCUAAGGCGAGGCCGAAAGGCGUAGUCGAUGGGAAACGGGUUAAUAUUCCCGUACUUGGUGUUACUGCGAAGGGGGGACGGAGAAGGCUAUGUUGGCCGGGCGACGGUUGUCCCGGUUUAAGCGUGUAGGCUGGUUUUCCAGGCAAAUCCGGAAAAUCAAGGCUGAGGCGUGACGACGAGGCACCACGGUGCUGAAGCAACAAAUGCCCUGCUUCCAGGAAAAGCCUCUAAGCGUCAGGUAACAUCAAAUCGUACCCCAAACCGACACAGGUGGUCAGGUAGAGAAUACCAAGGCGCUUGAGAGAACUCGGGUGAAGGAACUAGGCAAAAUGGUGCCGUAACUUCGGGAGAAGGCACGCUGACAUGUAGGUGAAGCGGUUUACCCGUGGAGCUGAAGUCAGUCGAAGAUACCAGCUGGCUGCAACUGUUUAUUAAAAACACAGCACUGUGCAAACACGAAAGUGGACGUAUACGGUGUGACGCCUGCCCGGUGCCGGAAGGUUAAUUGAUGGGGUCAGCGCAAGCGAAGCUCCUGAUCGAAGCCCCGGUAAACGGCGGCCGUAACUAUAACGGUCCUAAGGUAGCGAAAUUCCUUGUCGGGUAAGUUCCGACCUGCACGAAUGGCGUAAUGAUGGCCAGGCUGUCUCCACCCGAGACUCAGUGAAAUUGAACUCGCUGUGAAGAUGCAGUGUACCCGCGGCAAGACGGAAAGACCCCGUGAACCUUUACUAUAGCUUGACACUGAACACUGGUCCUUGAUGUGCAGGAUAGGUGGGAGGCUUUGAAGCGUGGACGCCAGUCUGCGUGGAGCCGUCCUUGAAAUACCACCCUUUAAUGGCUGGUGUUCUAACGUGGGCCCCUGACCGGGGUUGCGGACAGUGUCUGGUGGGUAGUUUGACUGGGGCGGUCUCCUCCCAAAGAGUAACGGAGGAGCACGAAGGUUGGCUAAUCCUGGUCGGACAUCAGGAGGUUAGUGCAAUGGCAUAAGCCAGCUUGACUGCGAGCGUGACGGCGCGAGCAGGUGCGAAAGCAGGUCAUAGUGAUCCGGUGGUUCUGAAUGGAAGGGCCAUCGCUCAACGGAUAAAAGGUACUCCGGGGAUAACAGGCUGAUACCGCCCAAGAGUUCAUAUCGACGGCGGUGUUUGGCACCUCGAUGUCGGCUCAUCACAUCCUGGGGCUGAAGUAGGUCCCAAGGGUAUGGCUGUUCGCCAUUUAAAGUGGUACGCGAGCUGGGUUUAGAACGUCGUGAGACAGUUCGGUCCCUAUCUGCCGUGGGCGCUGGAAGAUUGAGGGGGGCUGCUCCUAGUACGAGAGGACCGGAGUGGACGCAUCACUGGUGUUCGGGUUGUCAUGCCAAUGGCACUGCCCGGUAGCUAAAUGCGGAAGAGAUAAGUGCUGAAAGCAUCUAAGCACGAAACUUGCCCCGAGAUGAAUCUUCCCUGAGACUUUAAGUCUCCUGAAGGAACGUUGAAGACGACGACGUUGAUAGGCCGGGUGUGUAAGCGCAGCGAUGCGUUGAGCUAACCGGUACUAAUGAACCGUGAGGCUUAACCUU